ensembl:lncRNA
GGGCUACAUCCACACGUACCAGGGAUUAACUGCGAGUGAAAGGUUGAAGAAAAGUGGUGGACGGUCGAAGUGAGGCGGUCCAGAAAUCUUCAAAUGUCCAGAGUCAGAAGAGACUGAGAAGGAAGGUGAGAGGAGACAGGACAGAGGCUCUCCACCCCUGAUGAGACACCAGGACAGUGUGUGAGGAGGAGGAGGAGGAAAAGGAGCCAGCAACAGCUGAGAGAUGCAGAGGAGAACAGGGGGAGAACAAACAGCUCGCUGUAAUUGAGGGACUGGUAAAAACAUUGAAAACACUUUUCUCGAUAUUUGCUUCCUGUAUUUGCAGAAGUAUCUCCAACACAAACUGUAACAGCUGCAUACAGGGAACCACUCACUGAUGUUUAUCCUGCAGGACAGGAUCUGACAGGGAAAGAAAGAAAAAUAAGGGAACCACGGACAACUUUGAUAAUGCUUUGAUUUAUCCAGAAUAUAUUUAGUUCAAAUAUUGUCUUCAUCACAGUGGGAUUGUGCUGGUUUCAGUGGGAAAAGUAUGCAGCUCAUUUAAAUGCAAAGAGCUGUGAAAAGUUGUCCAUUCAUAAAACGUGUCAGUAUUUUAUAAGGAUGUCAUGUUUCUGUAUCACCUCUCUCCUGUUAGAGCCUCUUACCCAAAAGUCAGCCUGUUAAUGCUCUCAUAUCUUCAACAUCUUGAGUAAAUUAUACUGCACAGUUUUCUCAUCAAUAAAAGAAUAUCUACUGC